rnacentral:rRNA from 1 species
AGUGAACGCUGGCGGUAGGCCUAACACAUGCAAGUCGAACGGCAGCACAGUAGAGCCUGCUCUUUAGGGUGGCCAAUGGCCGACGGGUGAGGAAAACAUCGGGAUUUACUUUUUCGUGGGGGAUAACGUAGGGAAACUUACGCUAAUACCGCCUUCGAACUACGGGGGAAAACAAGGGAUCCUCGGACCUUGCGCCAAUGAAUGAGCCGAUGUCGGAUUAGCUAGUUGGCGGGGUAAAGGCCCACCAAGGCGACGAUCCGUAGCUGGUCUGAGAGGAUGAUCAGCCACACUGGAACUGAGACACGGUCCAGACUCCUACGGGAGGCAGCAGUGGGGAAUAUUGGACAAUGGGCGCAAGCCUGAUCCAGCCAUACCGCGUGGGUGAAGAAGGCCUUCGGGUUGUAAAGCCCUUUUGUUGGGAAAGAAAAGCAGCAGGUUAAUACCCCGCUGUUCUGACGGUACCCAAAGAAUAAGCACCGGCUAACUUCGUG